rfam:Pristionchus pacificus strain PS312 contig9452, whole genome shotgun sequence.
UCUUCAUUUCACGUGCUCUCUCACCGGUCAGAGAGAGACGAGAGAGUGUGUGAAAUGAAGAGA